rnacentral:lncRNA from 1 species
CCACCAUCCCUCACUCGGUUCUUCAGAACUGCACGAGACGACGACGACGACGACGACGACGACAGGCCACCGUCUGCAGCCACCAGCCUGGUGGGACUUCUGUGCCGGCCCUGGGGUGUAAUCCACUUAUCUGACACAUACUCUGUCUCUCCGCUCUCUAGAUGGUAAGGCCACCAGCCCUCGGCUUCCAGACAGCACACACAGCGGUGGCGGCGGUGGUGAUGGCGGCUGCGGCGGCAGCAGGGUCUCCUUGCAAAUAACCCCUCCUUGCUGAACCCUGAGCCCCUGGCAGAGGCUCCAAUAGGGAACUUGAGAGCAGCUUUGCUGGACUUGGAUCAGAAAAUCCAGCCUGGUGAAAUCAGAUGGCCAGGGUCCUGGACCAAGAGCUGGGGGAUCUGCCAGUGGAAACAAUCUCACACAAUCCUGUUAAGCACACACCACCAAGGAAUGGCGGGCCUCGGGACGGGGCUGCUUCCCCCCGGCCCUGCCCAGCCGAGCAGAUGGCGGCGUGGGCGGUAGGUACCAGCCUCCUGGCAAUCCGAACAUCUGUUCCCGUUAGAAAAUGCUAAUUGCCAUCAAUCAGGACAGCACCUACCCACAUUUACAUGCAAGCGCACAUGCAAAAAAAAAAAAAAAAAAAAAAAAAA